rnacentral:rRNA from 1 species
UGUGGGGUGCUCGAGUGGCGAACGGGUGAGUAACACGUGAGUAACCUGCCCUUGACUUUGGGAUAACUUCAGGAAACUGGGGCUAAUACCGGAUAGGAGCUCCUGCUGCAUGGUGGGGGUUGGAAAGUUUCGGCGGUUGGGGAUGGACUCGCGGCUUAUCAGCUUGUUGGUGGGGUAGUGGCUUACCAAGGCUUUGACGGGUAGCCGGCCUGAGAGGGUGACCGGCCACAUUGGGACUGAGAUACGGCCCAGACUCCUACGGGAGGCAGCAGUGGGGAAUAUUGCACAAUGGGCGGAAGCCUGAUGCAGCAACGCCGCGUGCGGGAUGACGGCCUUCGGGUUGUAAACCGCUUUCGCCUGUGACGAAGCGUGAGUGACGGUAAUGGGUAAAGAAGCACCGGCUAACUACGUGCCAGCAGCCGCGGUGAUACGUAGGGUGCGAGCGUUGUCCGGAUUUAUUGGGCGUAAAGGGCUCGUAGGUGGUUGAUCGCGUCGGAAGUGUAAUCUUGGGGCUUAACCCUGAGCGUGCUUUCGAUACGGGUUGACUUGAGGAAGGUAGGGGAGAAUGGAAUUCCUGGUGGAGCGGUGGAAUGCGCAGAUAUCAGGAGGAACACCAGUGGCGAAGGCGGUUCUCUGGGCCUUUCCUGACGCUGAGGAGCGAAAGCGUGGGGAGCGAACAGGCUUAGAUACCCUGGUAGUCCACGCUGUAAACGGUGGGUACUAGGUGUGGGGUCCAUUCCACGGGUUCCGUGCCGUAGCUAACGCUUUAA